rnacentral:rRNA from 1 species
AGAAUUGAUCUGGUUCAGGAUGAACGCUAGCGACAGGCCUAACACAUGCAAGUCGAGGGGCAGGCACAAGGAGUAAUCUGAGGUGGCGACCGGCGCACGGGUGAGUAACACGUAUGCAACCUGGCUGUAAGAGGGGAAUAACCCGGAGAAAUCCGGACUAAUACCGCAGUAAUACUUAGAAUCCGCAUGGAUUUUUAAGUUAAACAGUUUAUGGCUUACAGAUGGGCAUGCGUAUGAUUAGCUGGUUGGAGAGGUAACGGCUCCCCAAGGCAACGAUCAUUAGGGGUUCUGAGAGGAAGGUCCCCCACACUGGUACUGAGACACGGACCAGACUCCUACGGGAGGCAGCAGUGAGGAAUAGUUGGUCAAUGGACGCAAGUCUGAACCAAGCCAAGUCGCGUGAAGGAAGAAUGUCCUAUGGAUUGUAAACUUCUUUUGAAGGGGAAUAAAGUACGGUACGUGUACCGUUUUGUAUGUACCCUUCGAAUAAGGAUCGGCUAACUCCGUGCCAGCCGCGGC